rnacentral:rRNA from 1 species
CGAAGGGUGCUAGCGUUGUUCGGAAUCACUGGGCGUAAAGCGCGCGUAGGCGGCUUUCCAAGUCAGGGGUGAAAUCCCAGAGCUUAACUCUGGAAUUGCCUUUGAAACUGGAAAGCUAGAGUACUGGAGGGGUUGGCGGAAUUCCUAAUGUAGAGGUGAAAUUCGUAGAUAUUAGGAGGAACACCGGUGGCGAAGGCGGCCAACUGGACAGUAACUGACGCUCUGGCGCGAAAGCGUGGGUAUCAAACAGGAUUAGAUACCCUGGUAGUCCACGCUGUAAACGAUGGAUGUUAGCCGUUGGGGGGUUACCCCUCAGUGGCGUAGCUAACGCGUUAAACAUCCCGCCUGGGGAGUACGGUCGCAAGAUUA